GGCUGGUCUGUAGGUAGUGAAACUUUGUUUCUUAAUUGUUCACAGUCAGUUAUAGAUCAGUCUCUUCGUUCUGCUCUUUCCUCUUCUUUCACUACUGUACUUGACUACUCUUGA
ensembl:Y_RNA Y_RNA Y RNA